rnacentral:rRNA from 1 species
GACGAACGCUGGCGGCACGCCUAACACAUGCAAGUCGAACGGACUUAAAAGAGCUUGCUUUUUUGCGUUAGUGGCGGACGGGUGAGUAACACGUGAGCAACCUGCCCCUGAGAGGGGGAUAGCUUCUGGAAACGGAUGGUAAUACCCCAUAAAAUAUACUUAUCGCUUGAUAGAUAUAUAAAAGAACUUCGCUCAGGGAUGGACUCGCGGCUGAUUAGCUAGUUGGUGAGGUAACGGCUCACCAAGUCGAGGAUCAGUAGCCGGGCUGAGAGGUUGAACGGCUACAUUGGGAAUGAGACACGGCCCAGUCUGCGAGGGAAGGGAGGAGAAGGGUAUAUAGCGGGAGGGAGGGAACUGUGAUGCAGCGAUGUGGGGGAGAGGAAGAAGGUGUUCGGAUUGUAAACUCGUUUGUGCAGGGGCGAGAAUGACGGUACCUGAAGAAAAAGCUCCGGCUAACUACGUG